AUACGGAGGACGCGAGCGUUAUCCGGAUUCAUUGGGUUUAAAGGGUGCGCAGGCGGCCGUGCAAGUCAGCGGUGAAAGCCCGGGGCUCAACCCCGGAAGUGCCGUUGAUACUGCAUGGCUGGAAUGCGGUCGAGGCGGGCGGGAAGUGGCGUGUUGCGGUGGAAUGCGUAGAUAUUCCACAGAACGCCGAUAGCGGAGGCAGCUCGCCAGGCCUGCAGUGACGCUCGGGCACGAAAGCGUGGGGAUCGAACAGGAUUAGAUACCCUGGUAGUCCAGGCCGUAAACGAUGGGCGCUCGUCGUCGGCGGCAGACAGUCGGCGGCCAAGCGAAAGCGAUAAGCGCCCCACCUGGGGAGUACGGUCGCAAGGCUGAAACUCAAAUGAAUUGACGGGG
rnacentral:rRNA from 1 species